CCUGCCAACACUCAACUUCACCUUCAUCUUCCAUUCUACACCCUUUUAUCUGCUUGACUUUGUGCAAGAGCUUUUGCAAACCCUCCUUUAUAUUAUUUGCAUUCCCAGCAUCUUGUCAUAACUUUGCUUUAUAUUAUCUGUAUUUACAGCAUUUCCAAAUACAAACAUAUUAAAAACCAGUUAAUUGAUUGAGAUAUACUAAUAAAGGUAUUACUUGUAUAACCUUCCUUUAUCCCCUCUACACUCAAAAUCUUUAUUUUGCAACAAACACUACAAAAUUUAGAACCUGAUUUUAUCUAAUAAACAGAAGAGUUCACCACUUUAAUUUACUUUUAGUCUAUAAAUAGAGUUUGAAGUUUUGAAACGAAAAAAAAUGAGGAGACAAAACACAGAUUCAGAAUUUUGGAAAUAGAGAAAAAGAAUUCGAAAUUUAAAAACAGAGAGUAGAUUUUCUUUUUGGGAGAGAAAUUUGAAAAAAAUAAUACACUGAAGCAGAGAUUGAAUUUUGCCACUAUUCAAACCUACAGAAACAGAGGAACAAAUAGAAGGAUUAAGAGGUAUUUUCGUUUAUUCAUUUUUUUCAUUUUUCUAAUCAAUCUGUUGAGUUUGAGUUAUGAAUAAAAAAUGAAAUUUGUUUAUUAUUAUUGAUCUGAGUAUAAAAAAUGUUAGAGAUAAUAUGAUUAAAAAACUCAAACCUUGAACGCCGUUGUCGUCGCCGAAAUGCCGACCGUGUUUCCUGGUCACUCCGUUCGUCUGACUCCCCUUCUUCCUCAACGACCUAAUCCAGCGGCCUCACUCCAACGCCGUUCUUAUUUACGGUCUUGAUGAUGAAGUUCGCAUGGCUCUGUUUUUUUUCUCUUUUGAAACUUUUGAUCUGCGACCCUCAUUGCCUAGCCGCCGCUCUGGUUUUUG
rnacentral:lncRNA from 1 species